GAAGGUAAUUAUCAACUUUGAGAUCUGCAUCAUCUCCACGAUGAAGACGCUGACUGUGUUUGCACUUCUUUGUGCUAUGAUGACAUUGACCACAGCUGCUGCUCUGUCCGAGGUGAAGGAUGAACACGGGACAGUGGAAGUCAUUCAAGAAGGAGAGAUCACAUCAUUGAGAGAUCAGCGUCUUGCCCCGGCGGUUGGAAUCUGAUUAAUGGCCGCUGUUUCUUCUUUGUUCCACGAUCCAUGUCUUGGGCUCGAGCUGAGUUAAACUGCCAGUCCAUGGGUGCAAACCUUGCGUCUGUACAUCUAGCUGAGGAGUAUCAUGGGAUUAAAAAGAUGAUAGAAGAUAAAACUCAUGGGCAUCCACAGACAUGGCUUGGAGGCUCUGAUGCUUAAGAGG